rnacentral:rRNA from 1 species
UAGGGAAUCUUCCGCAAUGGACGCAAGUCUGACGGAGCAACGCCGCGUGAGUGAAGAAGGAUUUCGGUUCGUAAAACUCUGUUGUUAGAGAAGAACAGCGCAUAGAGUAACUGUUAUGCGUGUGACGGUAUCUAACCAGAAAGCCACGGCUAACUACGUGCCAGCAGCCGCGGUAAUACGUAGGUGGCAAGCGUUGUCCGGAUUUAUUGGGCGUAAAGCGAGCGCAGGCGGUCAAUUAAGUCUGAUGUGAAAGCCCCCGGCUCAACCGGGGAGGGUCAUUGGAAACUGUUUGACUUGAGUGCAGAAGAGGAGAGUGGAAUUCCGUGUGUAGCGGUGAAAUGCGUAGGUAUAUGGAGGAACACCAGUGGCGAAGGCGACUCUCUGGUCUGUAACUGACGCUGAGGCUCGAAAGCGUGGGUAGCAAACAGG